AGAGUUUGAUCCUGGCUCAGGAUGAACGCUAGCGGCAGGCUUAACACAUGCAAGUCGAGGGGUAACAGGGAAAGCUUGCUUUCCGCUGACGACCGGCGAACGGGUGCGUAACACGUAUGCAACUUGCCUCUUACUGGAGGAUAGCCCAGAGAAAUCUGGAUUAAUACUCCAUAUUAUCGGAUCAUGGCAUCAUGGACCGAUGAAAGCUCCGGCGGUAAGAGAUGGGCAUGCGGCCUAUUAGCUUGUUGGUGAGGUAACGGCUCACCAAGGCUGCGAUAGGUAGGGGGUCUGAGAGGAUUAUCCCCCACACUGGUACUGAGACACGGACCAGACUCCUACGGGAGGCAGCAGUGAGGAAUAUUGCGCAAUGGACGAAAGUCUGACGCAGCCAUGCCGCGUGCAGGAAGACAGCCCUACGGGUUGUAAACUGCUUUUAUUUGGGAAGAAACCCCCUUACGUGUAAGGGGCUGACGGUACCAUUUGAAUAAGGACCGGCUAACUCCGUGCCAGCAGCCGCGGUAAUACGGAGGGUCCAAGCGUUAUCCGGAUUUAUUGGGUUUAAAGGGUUCGUAGGCGGGAUAUUAAGUCAGUGGUGAAAUCCUACAGCUUAACUGUAGAACUGCCAUUGAUACUGAUAUUCUUGAAUUCACCUGAAGUAGGCGGAACAUGACAUGUAGCGGUGAAAUGCUUAGAUAUGUCAUAGAACACCGAUUGCGAAGGCAGCUUACUAAAGUGAUAUUGACGCUAAGGAACGAAAGCGUGGGGAGCGAACAGGAUUAGAUACCCUGGUAGUCCACGCCGUAAACGAUGAUCACUCGUCAUUGGCGAUACACUGUCAGUGACCAAGCGAAAGUGUUAAGGGAUCCACCUGGGGAGUACGGUCGCAAGAUUGAAACUCAAAGGAAUUGACGGGGGCCCGCACAAGCGGUGGAGCAUGUGGUUUAAUUCGAUGAUACGCGAGGAACCUUACCAGGGCUUAAAUGCAUAUUGACAGAUUGAGAAAUCAGUCCUUCUUCGGACAAUUUGCAAGGUGCUGCAUGGUUGUCGUCAGCUCGUGCCGUGAGGUGUCGGGUUAAGUCCCAUAACGAGCGCAACCCCUACCCUUAGUUGCCAGCGGAUAAUGCCGGGGACUCUGAGGGAACUGCCGGUGCAAACCGUGAGGAAGGUGGGGAUGACGUCAAAUCAUCACGGCCCUUACGUCCUGGGCUACACACGUGCUACAAUGGUGCAUACAGAGGGCAGCUACCUGGUGACAGGAUGCGAAUCUCGAAAGUGCAUCUCAGUUCGGAUCGGAGUCUGCAACUCGACUCCGUGAAGUUGGAAUCGCUAGUAAUCGCGCAUCAGCCACGGCGCGGUGAAUACGUUCCCGGGCCUUGUACACACCGCCCGUCAAGCCAUGGAAGCUGGGGGUGCCUGAAGUCGGUGACCGCAAGGAGCUGCCUAGGGCAAAACUGGUGACUGGGGCUAAGUCGUAACAAGGUA
rnacentral:rRNA from 1 species